GGGCCCGCACAAGCGGUGGAUUAUGUGGAUUAAUUCGAUGCAACGCGAAAAACCUUACCUGGCCUUGACAUGUACCGAAUUUAGCAGAGAUGCUUUAGUGCUCGUAAGAGAACGGUAACACAGGUGCUGCAUGGCUGUCGUCAGCUCGUGUCGUGAGAUGUUGGGUUAAGUCCCGCAACGAGCGCAACCCUUGCCAUUAAUUGCCAUCAUUUAGUUGGGCACUUUAAUGGGACUGCCGGUGACAAACCGGAGGAAGGUGGGGAUGACGUCAAGUCCUCAUGGCCCUUAUGGCCAGGGCUUCACACGUAAUACAAUGGAUGGUACAGAGGGACGCCAACCCGCGAGGGGGAGCCAAUCCCAGAAAGCCAUUCGUAGUCCGGAUUGUUGUCUGCAACUCGACUCCAUGAAGUCGGAAUC
rnacentral:rRNA from 1 species